UAUAUAUAAAAAAGUUCACAUACACAAUAACAUGUAGAACAUAAGAAAAAUUAUAUCUUUCCUUUCCUUAUACUUUGAGCUACAAACAAUCUAAAUUAAAUAAUGAUUGUUAAAAAAAAAAAAAAUGUCGAAAGUGAAGAAGUUCGGUUCAAGCAUGAAAGGGUAAAUUCUUCAUAGAACCCCCAUUUGAAAAAAAAAUGGAGAAGGAGAAGAAAACUCUUUGCAUUAUAAAGUUCUGAUAAACAUAAUUUUCCCCCAAAAAAAUAAAUUCGAGUAAAAAUAAUAUUAAUGGACAAAAGUAAGUAUAUUUGCCCAAUUUACAAUAAUUCAUAGAGGUUCUUUUUUUAGUGUUCAAGAUUCCUAUUGUUGAGCGCUUUUUUCCUUAGAGAUCGAGAUUUUUGCCAUCUUUAUAGGCCAGUCAAAUUUAUUAUUAUUCGAGAAUUUGCAGUUGGAUCCAUAGAAGUUUUCCGAAAAGGAAGAAGUUUCCUCAGCAAUUUAGAGUUCUCAGUUUUAAUUGGCAAAUGAGCAGGAACGGGGCUACUUUGAGAUCAUUGGGCAUAUGACAAAGUAGCAACCUGAAGAGGAAGGAAGCUAACAGAACAAGGAUAUUCAGCUGAUGAAGAAAGCCCAUAGAGACCACAGCUGCAUGCAAAAUUAUUGUUUAAUUUUUAUUGUUUAAAAAAAAAUGGAAGAUGGAAAAGGAGAAGGAGAAGGAGAAGAAAACUCUUUGCAUUAUUUAAGUUCUUAUAAACAUAAUUUUCCCCAAAAAAAAUAAAUUUGAGCAAAAAUAAUAGUAAUUGGCAAAAGUAAGUAUAUUUGCCCAAUUUACAAUAAUUCAUUGAGGUUCUUUUUUUAGUGUUCGAGAUUCCUAUUGUUGAGCUAUUUUUCUCGAGAUUGAGAUUUCUGCCAUCUUUAUAGGCCAGUCAAAUUUAUUAUUAUUCCAGAAUUUGCAUUGGAUCCAUAGAAGUUUUCCGAAAAGGAAGAAGUUUCCUCAGCAAUUUAGAGUUCUCAAUUUUAAUUAGCAAAUGAGCAUGAAUAGGGCUACUUUGAGAUCAUUGGGCAUAUGACAAAGUAGCAACCGGAAGAGGAAGGAAGCUAAAGGAACAAGGAUAUUCAGCUGCUCGUAGAGACCACUGCUGCAUG
rnacentral:lncRNA from 1 species